AAAGGCCAGUUCAUUAUUAAUUGUCGUUGUUCGAAAAUGCCGAAUUUCGCACCAGGAAAAGACGUUUUGCGGCGAAGUCUAUUAACCUUUUUUUCAUUUGAAGAAAAUGGCUGUCGAAGUUAUCGAUCACAGAAAAAUAAUAGGGUGGAACAAUUCCUGUCUAGAAUGAUCUGGAUUUUUCUAUUGAAAGAAUUUGCUAUCGUGUCAAGGAAGGAGUUAUCUAAUUAUUAUAUGCUUCGGCUGUUCUCUCAGAGUUCCUAGUGGAUUGGCCAAUAAGUUAAUUCUCCAUAUUUAACAGAAUGGCAAUACAGCUAUAAAACGUAAUGACUUAUUGGCCAACCAAACACAUUCCAGGCUUGGCUGACGCGUCUCAGCAAACUCGCUUGUCGAUCGAACGAUCGGAAACAACAUAGAAACAACAUUCCUACAACGAUUGCAAACGAUGCAGUCACGAGAUUCGUUUU